rnacentral:rRNA from 1 species
AUUGAACGCUGGCGGCAUGCUUUACACAUGCAAGUCGAACGGUAACGCGGGGCAACCUGGCGACGAGUGGCGAACGGGUGAGUAAUGCAUCGGAACGUGCCCGGUAGUGGGGGAUAACUGCUCGAAAGAGCAGCUAAUACCGCAUACGACCUGAGGGUGAAAGGGGGGGAUCGCAAGACCUCUCGCUAUUGGAGCGGCCGAUGUCGGAGUAGCUAGUUGGUGGGGUAAGGGCCCACCAGGGCGACGAUCCGUAGCUGGUCUGAGAGGACGACCAGCCACACUGGGAAUGAGACACGGCCCAGACUCCUACGGGAGGCAGCAGUGGGGAAUUUUGGACAAUGGACGCAAGUCUGAUCCAGCCAUGCCGCGUGCGGGAAGAAGGCCUUCGGGUUGUAAACCGCUUUUGUCAGAGAAGAAAUCUUCUGGGUUAAUACCUCGGGAGGAUGACGGUAUCUGAAGAAUAAGCACCGGCUAACUACGUGCCAGCCGCCGCCGUAA